rnacentral:lncRNA from 1 species
CCGCUGUCACCGUCACCGUUCCUGGGAUUGUUGCUGUCACCGCUGUCACCGUCUCUGGGAUUGUCACCGUUUCCAGGCUUGUCGCUGUCACCGUCACCGGGGCUGUCACCGUCAUUGCUGUCACCGACACCGGGAUUGUCACCGACACCGGGACUGUCACCAUCACCGCUGUCACUGUCACCACUGCCCUGGGAUUGUUAUUGACACCGGGAUUGUCACCAUCACUGCUGUCACCGACACCUGGAUUAUCAGUGACACCAGCACUGUCACCAUCACCGCUGUCACCGACACCGGGAUUGUCACCAUCACCGCUGUCACUGACACCCGGAUUAUCAGUGACACCAGCACUGUCACUGUCACCGCUGUCACCGUCACUGGGGCUGUCACUGUCGCUGGGAUUGUCACCGCUGCUGGGUUUGUCACCAUCACUGGGAUUGUCACUGUCACCAUCACUGGGUUUGUCACAUUGCUGAGUUUGUCACCAUCACUGCUGUCACUGUCACCGGGAUUGUCACUGUUCCUGGGAUUGUCACCGUCACCGCUGUCACCGUCACUGGGGCUGUCACCAUUACUGGGAUUGUCACCGUUAUCACCUUCACCAUUACCGGGAUUGUCACCAUUUCUGAGGUUGUCACCAUUAUUGCGUCACCAUCACUAAGACUGUCACCAUUACUGGGAUUGUCACCAUUACUGGGACUGUCACCGUUAUUGUGUCACCAUUACUGAGACUGUCACCAUUACCACUGUCACCGUCACUGGGAUUGUCACCAUUACUGGGACUGUCACCAUUAUCACCUUCACCGUCACUGGGAUUGUCACCAUUAUUGUGCCACCGUUACUGGGAUUGUCACCAUUACUGAGACUCUCACCAUUAUCACCUUCACCGUUACUGGGAUUGUCACCAUUAUUGUGUCACCAUUACUGGGACUGUCACCAUUACUGGGACUGUCACCAUUACUGGGACUGUCACCAUUAUUGCCUUCACCAUUACUGGGAUUGUCACCAUUAUUGUGUCACCGUUACUGGGAUUGUCACCAUUACUGGGACUCUCACCAUUAUCACCUUCACCGUCACUGGGAUUGUCACCAUUAUUGUGUCACCAUUACUGGGACUGUCACCGUUACCACCAUCACCGUUUCUGGGAUUGUCACCAUUAUUGUGUCACCAUUAGUGAGGCUCUCACCGUUACCACUGUCACCAUUACUGGGACUGUCACCAUUAUCACCAUCACCAUUAGUGGGAUUGUCACCAUUACUGGGACCAUCCCCAUCCCCGUGCAGAGCAGCAGGAGAGGUGUGGUGAGUGUGAGUGUGGGGGUCACGUUGGUGGUGGGUGUGCAACAGGUGUGAGCACGGCGUCGUGCAACACGGGGGGGGUGGUGGGGCAUGGGUGCAAGGCAGGGGUGCGCACAUGGUUGCUCACGUGUAGGUGCAAUGCACACUCUUGUGGACAUGCCUUGCACACACAAUGCACAC